AUUGAACGCUGGCGGCAGGCCUAACACAUGCAAGUCGAGCGGAGCGGCGGACGGGUGAGUAAUGCCUAGGAAUCUGCCUGGUAGUGGGGGAUAACGUCCGGAAACGGGCGGUAAUACCGCAUACUAUCAGAUGAGCCUAGGUCGGAUUAGCUAGUUGGUGGGGUAAAGGCCUACCAAGGCGAUGAGCCGUAACUGGUCUGAGAGGAUGAUCAGGCAGACUGGAACUGAGACACGGUCCAGAGUCCUACGGGAGGAAGCAGUGGGGAAUAUUGGACACGGGACGAAAGUCUGAUUCAGCCAUGCCGCGUGUGUGAAGAAGUUCUUCGGAUUGUAAGGCACUUUAAGUUGGGAGGCGUUACCAACAGAAUAAGCACCGGCUAACUUCGUGCCAGCAGCCGCGGUAAUUC
rnacentral:rRNA from 1 species